ACAUCUUUGGGUCGCAAGAUCUGGAGAUCAAAGCCGGGGACCGCAAGGCCUGGCGCUUGAAGAGGAGCCCGCGUCCGAUUAGCUAGUUGGCGGGGUAACGGCCCACCAAGGCUCCGAUCGGUAGCCGGCCUGAGAGGGCGGACGGCCAC
rnacentral:rRNA from 1 species